rnacentral:tRNA from 1 species
AGGGGUGUAGCUCAGUUGGUAGAGCAGCCGAUUCCAAAUCGGCAGGUCCUGGGUUCAAGUCCCUGCGCCCCUG